AUGCUCGCGACCGCCUCUCCGCACCUCCACGCCGCGGCGCACCGCCUCUCCCUGGCGGCGCCCGCGCGCGCCGCCCGCUCCGCGCGCCUCCCGUUAAGGCGCCCCCUCCGCUACGCGCCGCUGCGCCUGCGCGCCUCGGCCGCUGCGGAGGCCGCCCCGUCCGCGAAGGAGGGGGCCGAGGAGCUGGGGUUCGAGGAGAUGGUGGCCCGCACGACGCGGCGGUACUACAUGCUCGGCGGGAAGGGGGGCGUCGGGAAGACGAGCUGCGCGGCGUCGCUGGCCGUGCGCUUCGCCAACAGCGGCCACCCCACCCUCGUCGUCUCCACCGACCCCGCGCACUCCCUGAGCGAUUCGUUUGCACAGGAUUUGACUGGCGGGGCUCUCGCGCCUGUCGAAGGUACUGAUUCGCCAUUGUUUGCGCUUGAGAUAAAUCCUGAGAAGUCUCGUGAAGAGUUUCGGACAAUAAACCAAAAGAAUGGAGGGACCGGGGUAAAAGAUUUCAUGGAUGGCAUGGGCCUAGGGAUUCUUGCUGAUCAGCUUGGGGAGUUAAAACUGGGCGAGUUAUUGGACACACCACCACCAGGAUUGGAUGAAGCAAUAGCAAUUUCAAAGGUUAUACAAUUCCUCGAAGCACCGGAGUAUAGCAUGUUUAGCCGCAUUGUAUUUGACACUGCUCCUACGGGCCAUACACUCCGGUUAUUAUCUUUGCCAGACUUCCUUGAUGCAUCCAUUGGGAAGAUUUUGAAGCUUAGGAGCAAGAUUGCUUCAGCAACAUCAGCUAUUAAAUCAGUAUUUGGACAAGAAGUUCAACAGCAGGAUGCAGCGAACAAAUUGGAGCAACUCAGAGAAAGGAUGGUCAAGGUGCGAGAGCUUUUCCGUGACACAGAAUCGACUGAAUUUAUAAUCGUGACGAUUCCAACGGUCAUGGCAAUCAGUGAAUCAGCAAGAUUACAUUCUUCCUUGCAAAAGGAAAGUGUUCCUGUAAGGAGACUCAUUGUUAACCAAGUUCUACCACCUUCAUCAUCAGACUGUAAAUUUUGUGCUAUAAAAAGAAAGGAUCAAGCACGUGCUUUGGAUAUGAUAAAGAGUGAUCCAGAGUUGAUGGGAUUGAACAUAAUGCAAGCACCUCUCGUGGACAUGGAAAUUAGAGGAGUUCCUGCUCUCAAGUUUUUGGGUGAUAUAGUGUGGAAGUGA
rnacentral:rRNA from 1 species